UCGCAAUAGGUCUCUUCAGCAGCUUUUCCGCUUCGCGCUUUAUGAACACAAGGCUUUGUUUGGGGCUCCUUUUGUGCCUGUAGACCUAGUUCCUCGGAUGGAAGCUGGAGGCGCUGGACUGUGUGGCCCCUAGGAGUGAAAAAAAGCACUGGGUUCCAUCCUCAGCUAUUCUCACUGGCUUUGUGACCCUGAACAAGUCACCUAACCUCUGAGCCUAGGUCUAGGCUAGGUUAACACCCCUUUAAAAGGCCACCUUUUCAGGCGCCCUCAGAAAUGCUACUACCAUGGACAAAGCACACCUCUUAACUACUCAGUAAUCCAAUCAUAGGGAUUUCCCGGCCUUCCUUUUUCCCCCACCUUCGUGUAAUCUUCUUUAGGUUCCCUCCUUAAUUCCAGAUAUAUAAAAGUAACUACUUAGGAUGCCUGGAUUUCAUAUUAUCUCAGGACUCUAAAUACUCUUAACAGCUGUCCAAGUGUUGGUGAUUCCAGUGGACUGUAUCUCUGUGAAAAACACAAUUUUGCCUUUUUGUAAUUCUAUUUGAGCAUGUUGGAAGUUUAAUUAGCUUUCCAACCAACCAAAUUUCUGCGUUCGAGUCUUAACAAUAUCUAAGUGUUACUGUGGCUUCAAAGAAGCUAUUGAUUCUGAAGUAGUGGGUUUUGACUGAGUUGACUGUUUUUAAAAAACUGUUUGGAUUUUAAUUGUGAUGCAGAAGUUACAGUAACAAACAUUUGGUUUUGUAAGAUCGGACGAG